UACGUAGGUCCCGAGCGUUGUCCGGAUUUAUUGGGCGUAAAGCGAGCGCAGGUGGUUUAUUAAGUCUGGUGUAAAAGGCAGUGGCUCAACCAUUGUACGCAUUGGAAACUGGUAGACUUGAGUGCAGGAGAGGAGAGUGGAAUUCCAUGUGUAGCGGUGAAAUGCGUAGAUAUAUGGAGGAACACCGGUGGCGAAAGCGGCUCUCUGGCCUGUAACUGACACUGAGGCUCGAAAGCGUGGGGAGCAAGCAGG
rnacentral:rRNA from 1 species